rnacentral:rRNA from 1 species
UGGUGGAGUGAUUUGUCUGGUUAAUUCCGAUAACGAACGAGAUCUUUUCUUAUUAAUUAAAGUGAAUCUUGAUUUCAAGGUUUGAUUUUUCUUUAAAAGGACUGUUAACUGUAUUUAAUUAAUGGAAGUUUGAGGCAAUAACA